AGCAGCCGCGGUAAUUCCAGCUCCAAUAGCGUAUAUUAAGUUGUUGCAGUUAAAAAGCUCGUAGUUGAAUUUCGGGGUUAGUAGAUUGGUCAUGCCUCUGGUAUGUACUGGUCUCACUGAUUCCUCCUUCCUGAUGAACCUUAACGCCAUUAAUUUGGUGUUUUGGGGAAUUUGGACUGUUACUUUGAAAAAAUUAGAGUGUUUAAAGCAAGCUAACGCUUGAAUACAUUAGCAUGGAAUAAUGAAAUAGGACGUUCGAUCCUAUUCUGUUGGUUUCUAGGAUUGACGUAAUGAUUAAUAGGGAUAGUUGGGGGCAUUAGUAUUCAAUUGUCAGAGGUGAAAUUCUUGGAUUUAUUGAAGACUAACUACUGCGAAAGCAUUUGCCAAGGAUGUUUUCAUUAAUCAAGAACGAAAGUUAGGGGAUCGAAGACGAUCAGAUACCGUCGUAGUCUUAACCAUAAACUAUGCCGACUAGGGAUCGGAUGAUGUUAAUUUUUUAAUGACUCA
rnacentral:rRNA from 1 species